UCUCCUUCCUCCCUCCAGAUUGAGAGAGAUCGUCGCCGCCACCUCCCUCCAGCGGAGCUCGCCGCCGUCCAUGGCCUUCCCCAUGCCCUCCUGCUCCGCCCGCUCUUCCUCCGCCGGUUCCUCCUCCCUCCACGCCUCCCGUGGGCCGUUGUCCAUUUCCCAAACCAGACCGCCUCCCCGGUUCAUUCCUUACUCCCCUCCGACCCACCCGCCUCGGCACCACCACCUAACUCGCUGACGACCUUACGCAUCACCGCCGGCCUCCGCUCCCUCCCCUCCCACACGCCCGACGCCCCACCCUCUCCAACUCCCCUUCUCCCCCUACCCCCAGUAGCACCCAGAUCUAGCACGCCGGCCUGUACCUCGCCGGAGGCGCACACGCGGAGUGAGGAGGGCUGCCCGCGUGCACACGCCAUGGACCUCCGUCACGGGACGCCGAAGCGUCUCGUCUGCCCGGCCGCGUCACCAGACGGCUGCCUACCUGCUCCCUGCCGACGCCAUCCCGUGCUCGGGACGCCGCGCUACCACGCCCUGACGUCCCUCCUCCCUCUCCCCUGCGUUCGCCCCAUCGUCCGUCCCCGAGGUACCCUGCCCGACCGCCCCCAGUCAGUUCUCUUCUCCGUGGCCGGAUCAGCGCAAUGCGUUCCUGGCAUUUUUUCUGUCUGUCUCUGUGGUUGGGCAGAUGGAGAGGGUGCUCAAGGGUUCAGCAACCUUACUGUCAGAUCCGGCGACCUCACUGCCAGGUCCGCCAUGCGCAAUCGCCAGGUAAGUGCAGCCCACGAUGAGUACGGGUGCCGGCGCGAGGCGACCCCUCACCUCACAGCGGUACCGAAGCUGCACAGCCUCCACAAAAAAAUGUCGGACGCUUUGGAUUGGAGGCAGAGCAGCUUGGUUACCAAGGUCAAAAGGACAAGGGCAGCUGCGCUGAGUGCGCACAGCGGCAGAUACACAAGGUUUACUGCAUUUCAGGCGGACAAUUUUAUUUCGAUCACAAUGGCCACAAAAGCUUCUUCAAAACACCACUCCCCACUCUUGCUGCUGCUCCCCGUGCUCACCUCCACAGCUUCCCGCAUCUUCGUGCGUACGCGCCCCUGGCUGUCCCACCCUGGAUGAUAUCGAUGUUGCAAGUGCUAGCAGCUCUAUGCUAUGCCACUACCGCCCAGCCACUGGCUGAACACGCCCUACUCAAGUAAUCAAGCUCACACACUGACGCACAGACAACUUAGAUAUUGAAGAGGACAACUGGGUCAGGAUGCUGCGGCUGGGCUUCUAGUGCAUGGGGAUCCUCAACGCCGACCUCGGGACAUUGCUGCUCUACGUCUUCUCCAACACCUUCAAGUACGACGUCGGGCACGAGGACGACGUGUCGGGUGUCCUCUUCCUCAUCAUCUACAGCUUCCUGCUCUUCGCCAUGGUCAAUAUCAUCUUCAUCGCGCUCUUAUAUUUAGGAACGGAGGGCAUGGAGGAUCCGCUGGAAACAAGCUUCGGAUGUCGAUGGGUCUGCCGGUGGCAGCCACUGUCAAUUGUGCUGACAAAAUUGGUGCCAAGAACUUGUACAUCAUCGCCGUCAAGGGAAUCAAGGGGCGCCUGAACAGGCUUCCUUCUGCCUGUGUUGGUGACAUGGUUAUGGCCAUUGUCAAGAAGGGAAAGUCUGACUGGAGGAAGAAGCUCAUGCCUGUUGUCAUUGUCAGGCAGCACAAGCGAUGGCGUCGAAAGGACGGUGUCUUCAUGUACUUUGAAGGUGAAUGGAGCUUGUGUUGUUGGUAGAACUCCAUUGAUGACUUCUUCCUAUGUUGAAGAGCAUGUUCCGUGUUAUCCAAGAGUAGCUAGCUUUACAUUGGCAGGGAGUUUGUUAUCCAAGAGUAGCUAGCUUUACAUUGGCAGAGAGUUUUAUUUGUCGAUCGCAAUAUUUGUGAUUGUGUGGAAUAUUGUAUGGUUAUCUACGUGAAGUUUGAAGUUCCUAGGCAUGCAAUAUUUGACGGUUAAACUAGUGGUUGUGAUGUGAACGAGUGUAUGGAGUUUCACAUGUUUUGUUCUGUACAGAAUAUAUUAUAAUAAACUUA